rfam:Aspergillus fumigatus strain AF293 mitochondrion, complete genome.
GCCAAAGUAGUUUAAUGGUAGAACAAUAAUUUCAUGAAUUAAGAAUGAGAAUUCGAUUUUCUCCUUUGGCU